rnacentral:rRNA from 1 species
GACGAACGCUGGCGGCGUGCUUAACACAUGCAAGUCGAACGCUGAAGCUCAGCUUUUGUUGGGUGGAUGAGUGGCGAACGGGUGAGCAACACGUGAGUAACCUGCCUCCUUCUUUGGGAUAACGCCCGGAAACGGGUGCUAAUACUGGAUAUUCACUGGUCUUCGCAUGGGGGUUGGUGGAAAGGGUUUUUCUGGUGGGGGAUGGGCUCGCGGCCUAUCAGCUUGUUGGUGGGGUGAUGGCCUACCAAGGCUUUGACGGGUAGCCGGCCUGAGAGGGUGAACGGUCACAUUGGGACUGAGAUACGGCCCAGACUCCUACGGGAGGCAGCAGUGGGGAAUAUUGCACAAUGGGCGCAAGCCUGAUGCAGCGACGCCGCGUGAGGGAUGGAGGCCUUCGGGUUGUGAACCUCUUUCGCUCAUGGUCAAGCCGCAACAAUGGUUGUGGUGAGGGUAGUGGGUAAAGAAGCGCCGGCUAACUACGUG